rnacentral:misc_RNA from 1 species
GAUGAGAACGUAGCGAAAUGCGAUAAGUAAUGUGAAUUGCAGAAUUCAGUGAAUCAUCGAAUCUUUGAACGCACCUUGCGCUCCUUGGUAUUCCGAGGAGCAUGCCUGUUUGAGUGUCAUGAAAUUCUCAACCUUUUCAGCUUUCUUUGUUGAUCAGGCUUGGAUGUGGGAGUAUGCGGGCUUCUCAGAAGUCGGCUCUCCUGAAAUGCAUUAGCGGGACCUUUGUUGCCUGGCUUUGGUGUGAUAAUUAUCUACGCCAUUGUAGUCAAGCAGCUUAAAAUGAGGUUUCAGCUUCUAACCGUCUCCCCUGAGACAACUUUUUGACAAUUUGACCUCAAAUCAGGUAGGACUACCCGCUGAACUUAAGCAUAUCAAUAAGCGGAGGA